rnacentral:rRNA from 1 species
GAUGAACGCUGGCGGCGUGCCUAAUACAUGCAAGUCGAGCGAACGGACGAGAAGCUUGCUUCUCUGAUGUUAGCGGCGGACGGGUGAGUAACACGUGGAUAACCUACCUAUAAGACUGGGAUAACUUCGGGAAACCGGAGCUAAUACCGGAUGAUAUUUUGAACCGCAGGGUUCAAAAGUGAAAGACGGUCUUGCUGUCACUUAUAGAUGGAUCCGCGCUGCAUUAGCUAGUUGGUAAGGUAACGGCUUACCAAGGCAACGAUGCAUAGCCGACCUGAGAGGGUGAUCGGCCACCCUGGAACUGAGACACGGUCCAGGCUCCUACGGGAGGCAGCAGUAGGGAAUCUUCCGCAAUGGGCGAAAGCCUGACGGAGCAACGCCGCGUGAGUGAUGACGGUCUUCGGAUCGUAAAACUCUGUUAUUAGGGAAGAACAUAUGUGUAAGUAACUGUGCACAUCUUGACGGUACCUAAUCAGAAAGCCACGGCUAACUACGUG